AAGACAUCACCUGACAUACCUGAGUCUCCAAAGAGACUCACUUCAUGGUCAUUUAUAAAACAAACAAACAAAAGAGAUGGAAUUUUUCCACAGUGACUGGAAAGUACAAGACCAGGAAACCAACAGGUGUUCCGUGCAGCUGUGGCGGAUUCGAGGUGGCGCCGCGGGUUCCUCAUGGAUGACAGCAGAAGCUGUUAGGACGGAGACGGGGUCUCCGUGACUUCCCCU